GAUGAACGCUGGCGGCGUGCUUAACACAUGCAAGUCGAGCGAGUGAGUUCUUCGGAACGAUCUAGCGGCGGACGGGUGAGUAACACGUGGGCAACCUGCCUCAUAGAGGGGAAUAGCCUCCCGAAAGGGAGAUUAAUACCGCAUAAAAUUAUCGAGUGGCAUCACAUGAUAAUCAAAGGAGUAAUCCGCUAUGAGAUGGGCCCGCGGCGCAUUAGCUAGUUGGUGAGGUAACGGCUCACCAAGGCGACGAUGCGUAGCCGACCUGAGAGGGUGAUCGGCCACAUUGGGACCGAGACACGGCCCAGACUCCUACGGGAGGCAGCAGUGGGGAAUAUUGCACAAUGGGGGAAACCCUGAUGCAGCAACGCCGCGUGAGUGAUGAAGGUCUUCGGAUUGUAAAGCUCUGUCUUUGGGGACGAUAAUGACGGUACCCAAGGAGGAAGCCACGGCUAAUUACGUGCCAGCCGCCGCUGUAA
rnacentral:rRNA from 1 species